UGAAACGUUGGCGGAUGAGUUGUGGCUAGGGGUGAAAUUCCAAUCGAACCCGGAGAUAGCUGGUUCUCCCCGAAAUAGCUUUAGGGCUAGCGUCGAGAGAAGAGUUGCGUGAAGGUAGAGCACUGAAUAUGUGAUGGCCCCAUCUCGGGGUACUGAGCAUAAUCAAACUGCGAAUGUCACGCCAACAUGCUCGGCAGUCAGACAGCGGGUGAUAAGGUCCGUUGUCAAGAGGGAAACAGCCCAGACCAUCAGCUAAGGUCCCAAAAUGUAUGCUAAGUGGAAAAGGAUGUGGAGAUGUACAGACAACUAGGAGGUUGGCUCAGAAGCAGCCAUCCUUUAAAGAGUGCGUAACAGCUCACUAGUCGAAUGACUCUGCGCCGAUAAUUUACCGGGGCUAAGCAUACUACCGAAGCUAUGGAUCCCAAGGGAUGGUAGGGGAGCGUUCCAUGAACGGAGAAGUACGACCGAAAGGACGUGUGGAGAUCAUGGAAGAGAGAAUGCCGGUGUGAGUAGCGGAACGUGGGUGAGAAUCCCACGCACCGAAAACCCAAGGUUUCCAGAGGAAGGUUCGUCCGCUCUGGGUAAGUCGGGACCUAAGGCGAGGCCGAAAGGCGUAGUCGAUGGACAACAGGUAGAGAUUCCUGUACCCGUAUAUAUGUGAAGGAAUGACGGAGAGAGGAAGCUGCAGCCAGCGGCUGGAAGAGCUGGUGCAAGCGAGAUAUCGGGAUGGCAGGCAAAUCCACCAUCCGAAACGAGAAGGCGUGAAGCGUACGGAAAGCUACGGCGAGUACGGAAGGCAGUGGAGGAACUUCCAAGAAAAGUUUCUAACGUUAAGUAUAUAUGGCCCGUACCGAAAAUGGACACACAUGGGUGAGGAGAGAAUCCUAAGGUGAGCGAGAGAACUAUAGCUAAGGAACUCUGCAAAAUGACUCCGUAACUUAGGGAGAAGGAGUGCUCAUAGAGAUAUGAGCCGCAGUGAAACGGCCCAAGCGACUGUUUACCAAAAACACAGCUCUCUGCUAAGCCGCAAGGCGAAGUAUAGGGGGUGACGCCUGCCCGGUGCUGGAAGGUUAAGGGGAGGGGUUAACGCAAGUGAAGCCCUGAACUGAAGCCCCAGUAAACGGCGGCCGUAACUAUAACGGUCCUAAGGUAGCGAAAUUCCUUGUCAGGUAAGUUCUGACCC
rnacentral:rRNA from 1 species